rnacentral:rRNA from 1 species
UACGUAGGGUCCGAGCGUUGUCCGGAAUUAUUGGGCGUAAAGGGCUCGUAGGCGGUUCGUCACGUCGGGAGUGAAAACUCGGAGCUUAACUCCGAGCCUGCUUCCGAUACGGGCAGACUAGAGGUAGGCAGGGGAGAGCGGAACUCCUGGUGUAGCGGUGGAAUGCGCAGAUAUCAGGAAGAACACCGGUGGCGAAGGCGGGUCUCUGGGCCGGAACUGACGCUAAGGAGCGAAAGCAUGGGGAGCAAACAGG